AGAGCGAACGCUGGCGGCAGGCUUAACACAUGCAAGUCGAGCGGGCGUAGCAAUACGUCAGCGGCAGACGGGUGAGUAACGCGUGGGAACGUACCUUUGGUUCGGAACAACACAGGGAAACUUGUGCUAAUACCGGAUAAGCCCUUACGGGGAAAGAUUUAUCGCCAAAAGAUCGGCCCGCGUCUGAUUAGCUAGUUGGUGAGGUAACGGCUCACCAAGGCGACGAUCAGUAGCUGGUCUGAGAGGAUGAUCAGCCACAUUGGGACUGAGACACGGCCCAAACUCCUACGGGAGGCAGCAGUGGGGAAUAUUGGACAAUGGGCGCAAGCCUGAUCCAGCCAUGCCGCGUGAGUGAUGAAGGCCCUAGGGUUGUAAAGCUCUUUUGUGCGGGAAGAUAAUGACGGUACCGCAAGAAUAACGCCCCGGCUAACUUCGCGCCAGCAGCCGC
rnacentral:rRNA from 1 species